rnacentral:lncRNA from 1 species
AAAAGAGAGAUCCAAGGACAGCCCAGCCCCUACUUUUAGGCCAGGGAGGUGGGAGAUUGAGACAAAGGAGACAGGGGUGAGGGUAGCCUGCAGAGCCAAAGGAAGAGCAGAGCAAUGGAGGUGAUGGGGAGCCUCGAGAGUCCCAGCAGAGUGUCAACCGUUAGGUGUUCCCAAGAAGCCGAUAAAACGCAAUUUGAGAGGGUUCAGCCGCACAGAGGUCCCUGGAAACUUUGGUAAGAGCAGCUUUGUGGUGUGAGUUAAGAGCCUGCCUGGAGAACUGGGAACUUGUUCUUUGGUUUGAUUGUAUUAUCAUGCUAGGGAAGGGAUGAUGGCAGGAGUGGCUUUGACUCUAACACUGGAUGGUGAGGAUGAAAAAUCUGGUGCGUCUUACUGAUUCUUAUGCCAUCCUAGCACUCCAACUUCAGUGUGUAUGCCGCCGAAGUGAGCACAUGCCAAUACUUUGAGGAACAUUUUACCGUAAAGGACCGGAGACUGCAGUGAUAGCUGGAAAGGGAUGAGAUCAAAGGAACAGUUUGUUUUGUCUUCUGUUUUAGAUGGAGCAGCAGAGCAGCUUAAUUACACAGUGCACACAAUCAAGAGUGAUGCCUUUGACAGGAUGUGAUGCACAGUCAGGGAGGUCAUUGCUAAGAUAAAGAAACUGAGGCUGAGCGGGAAAAUGCUCUGCACAGCCAGCAAACAGCAAAGCCAGCCUUCACAGCUGCCCACCAGGCUAGCCAAACACCUGCACUCCAGAUGUUUAGGAUGGACUUGAUGAGAUAAGGCCUACAUAUGGGGAGAGUUAACAAAAACAAAAAACAAAAAACCUCAUGUAAUACAAGUGCUGCCCCCAGGCAACCUAGGAAUCUAGAGACACAGAGGUGCCCAGUUCUCAGGAACCAUCGGAGGCAGGAGUGUAUAGCACCAUUCUGCAGAAGCCUCCAGUGGACAUGACUCCCCCGCUGCACUCAAGUCACCCUGCUGCCCCUUAUUUGUACCAAGCCUUUGGGUUCACAGUGUUCCUUCUUAGAGCUUCCAUGACAGAAUUAAUGCAGUCUCUGGGUAUUCUCAGUAGUUUUGUGCUUGUUUUAUUAUUAUUAUUAUUAUUAUUAUUAUUAUUAUUAAAUCUGCCAAUUUUACAUUUGAC